CCCGAGCCCAGUCAACGUUUUGACCCGAUCAAAUCGGCCCGUGACCCGAAACGACCCUACUUGGGCCCUACAACAGCCACGUAAAGUUUCGGGAUGAUCCGACGUUCUUUCAUGGGGUUACGGACAAUCCACGCCAAACAAGCGUCACGGGCCGACCGAGCCGGGCCAACGGGCCCUCGGGACCCGAAAACUGAAUUUUUUUCAUCCAAACCCAUUAAAACACGUUACCGAGGUCUCACGCAAAAUUUCAUGCCAAUCCGACGUCGUUUGAUGGGGUUUUGAAAAAUUAUGAUUCCUCAAAAAUUUAAUGUCUGUUCCUGUCACUUAGCUUUUUGUGCAAAAUGUAUAUAUAGGGGAGGGGUGGGUGUUGAGCAGCCCAUGCCCGGGCAAGGCAUGCCAGCGCCCAAGCCAAAGGAGGCUGGUGGCGUGCGUAUAACAGCUCAAAUGCCCCAACGAUGACCGAGAACAAGCGCCCAUCUCCCCUCAUUCCCCCCCCACCAAGCGCCCCUCCCCCCCCAUGUUGCCUGCCCACUCGCACAGCUACUCGUGAUUUCAUGCCCAGCGACUAGUGAAUGUGCCUCGACGACCAGCAAACCUCGAAAAUUAUGAUUCCUCGUAAAAUUAAUGUCUGUUCCUGUCACUUUACUUUUUGUGCAAAAUGUAUAUAUAGGGGAGACCAGGGGCUUGAGCAACCCCUGUGCCCAAGCAAGGGUCAGAUGGAAGCACACGAGACGCGAGGUUUAAAGCCUAUACAAGCAAGGCGUCUGUCUCCCCAAGCCCCAUUGCCUAUAAAACAAGCCCGAUGCCUUGUAAAUGCCCCACACGAUGCCUAUAAAUGACAACGAUGUUUGCUAGUUAAUCGAUCGACGCCCCACACCUUGCAGCAUGUUGCCUAGUAAACAAGCCAUGCUGCCUUGGAAGCGCCCCACAUCAUGGCAUGUUGCCUAGCACGCUGCCCUUGUUUCCCGCACGGCGACCUGAAAGCGUGGCCUGACGACGUGCUUGCCUUCGAAAAUUAUGAUUCCUCAAAAAAUUAAUGUCUGUUCCUGUCACUUUACUUUUUGU
rnacentral:rRNA from 1 species